CUUAUUCCUCACCCCAUUGAAGUCUCCAGAAUGGGGUCAUCUCGCUCUACGAGCAAGAGCUAUGGUUAGCGUUUUCUAUUCGAAGCAUUUGGUAUUUGAUUGCUUAUCGCGGCUUUGUUCUUCCAUCGAUAUUCCUGCGUUUGAUUAAUGUUUGCAUGCGUUUUGUACGGAUCGGUUUUUGAUCUUUGUCGAAAUUGAUUUAUGCAGACGAUCGUCGAUUUACGCUUGGGAUUCUGAUUAGAUCGGUGUCGUUUGAAAUUUGGAUUAAUAUUUCUUUUUCGAUUCUUUUUUCCUAUUUAGAGUUUCCUUUGGCUUAUUCAGCUUAUGGAUUGGUGGCCUUGGGCCUUUGUUUUGGUUUCAUCUAUAUAUGCAGAUUAUGCCUACAACCAUUGAGUGUGGUUUUCACAUAAUCUGAGAUCUUUCUUUCGAUAACAUUGUUCGAGGGUUGGCUUGGAUUGUUGAGGCUGGGAAUGCCCCUUGGUCGUGUGGUAUCAAAUAUUCAGGUUCUUUCUGGUUAAUUGAUAUUCUCUGCAGAGUUAUUCAUAAAAGCAUGUACCUACUCUGCUUGUGAAAUUUCCAGAUUUAUUGAAUCAAGUCUCUUUCUCCAGCUUGCUCAAGAGGUUGGGCAAGAUGAGCUCCGAGUUUUGCCAACCCCUUGUCUUAUCUUGCUUUUGGCGAUCUUACCCUAAUUUCUGAAAUCAUUUGUCAUGUUAAAUUUCUGAAAUCGUGAUGACUUUUUUUAUGAAUAUCUGGUUUGGAUCAUUGAUUAUUUAAGUACGGACGGAUGGUUUGAUAUACUUACACAUAUACAUUUCAUUUGAAUUGCAGUGCCUUGAUAAACCGCGGCUCAUCCUUAUGGGUUUGACAUAGUAUCAUCAUCCCUGCCCUUUUUGUUUAUCAUGCUUUGUUUUGAGUUUCUUUCUGCGUUUAGGUGAUUGAGAGGAUGGUUCAAGGUCUUGUGUCGUUAGAUUAGGCGUUUUCUUAUAUGCAUAUGCAUUUUAUUCACUAAUUUCAGGUUCGCGUCUGGCGUAAGGCUUCAGUCUUCUUUAAUCGGGUCAAUUAAACAAGAAUUUAACCUUGGAAGGUAGUUGUCUUGGACUAGCGCUUCCUUUUAAAGUACCUUUUUUUAUUUUACAACUUAAGCUUCGGUCUCUUGUGAGAUUUUGGUUUAUGUCUUUUGUUUUGGACGUUCAAUGAAUUUUCAGGACUCUUCUUUUACUCAAGAAUAUUAUAAAUCAUGGAUGUUUUAAUUGUCUUCCGCUUCUCCGUUUCCAUCAUUGCGGGCUAGAUAUGUUUCAUCACCUUUUCAUCUCUUGGUAUUGUAUGGUUGAGUUAUGCUUUAUGAUAAGUAUCUAUUUUCAUAUAUGAUUGUCAGAGCAUCACCGAGUGUUGAUAUGCAGCUUAGGUAUAUGUAUUAGUACUUAUAUGCGUCUUGUAGAGGUUCAGCGGUUUUGUGCAAGCACAACUACUUUUUGGUUAAUUCAUAUUCUCUAUGCAGAAUUAUUCCUAAAAGCAUAUACCUAUUUAGCUUGUGAAAUUUCUUGAUUUAUUGAAUCAAAUCCCUUUUUCCAGCUUGCUGAAGAGGUUUGGCUAGAAAGGCUUCAAGUUUCGUCAACUCCUUGUCUUAUCCAACGUUUGGCUUUUAAUUUCUGAAACCGUUUAUCAUGUUGAACUUCUGAAAUCGUUUAAACAUCUUUUUUUCUGAAUUUCUGAUUUCGAUCCUUGAUUUCCUUCUUUCAAGGACGGGCGGAUGGUUUCAUAUUCUUACAUUUAUAUUUCAGUUGAUAAACUGCGGCAAUUCAUCCUAAUGGGUUUGACAUAGUAUCAUCAUCCUUGCUUUUAUCUCUCCUUUUGUUCAUUAUGCUUUGUUUUGAAUCUCAUUCUUGAGGGUUUUGGCAUGUUUUCCUCUUUUAGGUGAUCGAGGGAAUGGUUCAAGGUCUUUUGCACUAUGGAAGGGGUGUAAUCUGAUUAUUUCGAAUCUUAUUUAUUCAUCCUUCUUUCUUUCAAGCGUUUUCUGAUAUGCUGUCCAUCUUAGCAUAUGCAUUUUUUUCACUAAUUUCAGGUUCUUGACUUGCGUCAGGCUUCAGUCUUCUUUAAUUGGGUCUAUUUAAACAAGAAUUUAACCUUGGAAGGGAGUUUUCCACUAGUGUUUCCUCUUAAAUGGGUUUUUAUUUUCUAAAACUUGAGCUUUCAUCUUUGUGAGAUUUUUUGUUCAUGUCUUCCGUUUUGGGCAUUCAAUGAAUUUUCAGGGCUCUUCUCGAGAAUUAUUUAUCAUGGAUGCUUUUAUUGUCAUGCUGCAAGUCUUGAAUGCCCUCCGGCUCUCCAUUCCCUUUACUGCGGGUUUGAUCUGUUUUUCCACCUUUUUAUAUCUUUGUAUUGCAAGGUUGGGUUAUUCUCUGCGUUAAUUAUCUAUUUACAUAGAUGAGUCUCUGAGCAUCACCUAUUGUUGAUCUACACUUUGCAAAUUUGUAAGUGCUGGAGGUUUUUGUGGGUAUUCUAUGUGAUAUUUGCAGAUCCGCCUUCGAUUUCUAUGUGGGGUUUGGAUAUACACUUGCAACCAAGAGUUAUUGGACCUUCAGAUAAAAGGUCAAAUAUUUAGUUAAUGACGUCCAGGUUCGUGAUUUCUAUGGUUAUGUUUCCUUGUAGCUUUGAUGGAUGCAGAGCAUAAAUAGUGGUUUGACUUACGCUUGGUACUUUGCAUGUGCAUCUACAGCACGUUUGGAAACUUUGAACUCUACACAUCUGUUAAAUUUAUCUUGGGUUGUGAUCUCCAGUCAAAUAAGAAUGCUAUAAUUUUGGAAAUUUACUCUCAAACUAUAUGAUGGUAUUUCCUCGUUAGGUAAAUGCGUCAUUUUUUGUUCGUUUGAUGGUUGUGCUCCAUUCUCACUCCUUAACUUUUUGAUGGUUAACUUAUUGUUUAGAUUUCAUUUCUUGUAUUUUCUUGUUUUGGACUUCGAACAUCAUUGCAUGACUUAUGGAGAUAGCAAAGCAUGGUUUACCAGAGUUAUAUUAUUGGAGUUCAUGCAACUGACCUAUUUUUCUGAAAACAAUACCGAUAGUUUUAUUUACUUCCAAUCGUUGAAUCGACAUCCUCUACAUAUAUGAAGAGUAUUUUCUCAUUAGGUAAUGGGUAGUUUGUUUUUUCAGCUUCUGGAGAUGGCUCUAACGGUUUCACAUAUUCAACACUGGAUUUCCUACAGCCAACCUAAUCUGUGAAAUAAGAAUUUCAGCUUUAGUUAUCUCCUUUAUAUAUGUAUAUAUAUAUAUUGAUCGUCUUCCUCUCUCCCUAUGUCUUUUCUCAUUUGGUGAUUGUGUCGUUUUUUCAGUACAUAUUUGACUUUUGACUGGAUUGAACCUUGUGAAAUAAUUAAAGCUGGGGUGCAUUGGUGAUGGUAUUUUGGGAACAACAUUGCAUUGGUGGUAUCAUAUUCAUCGUUCCUAUUGUACUAUAUCCUACUUUGUAUAAUGUAUAGUUUAGUUUUCCUUCCUCUUGAAUUUUUUUGUUUUAGUCUUCAAACAACAUUGCAGUUCUUAUGGGAUAGCAAGCAUGGUUUUGGAAUCAAGAUUAGAGUUUCCUACAGCUGACCUAUUUUGUGAAUUAUAAGAUACUAGUUCCAUGUACUUUGCAUUCUCUAAUUGAUUCUCUCCCUGGAUGAUGGUAUUUUCUCAUUAUGUAAAUGAAUCAUUUGUUUUUUCAGCUUACAGACAUAGCUGCCAUCGUUUCACAUUGUCAACACUGGAUUACCAGCAAUCCCUGCCUGCAACCUACCUAUUUUUUGAAUUUUUUUAUUUUAUCAUUACAUACUUAUCCUAUUAUAAAUUGACUCUCUCUCUCUCUCUCUCUCUCUCUCUCUCUCUCUCUCUCUCUCUCUCUCUCUCUCUCUCUCUCUCUCUCCCCCUAUGUCUUUUUUCAUUUGGUAAAUGUGUUGUUCUUUUCAGUACUUAAUUUGACUUUGGACUGGAUAGUACUCUUGUGAAAUAAAGUUGCGCUGGUUUGCAGUGGUGGCUGUGUUUUGGGAAGGGAGCGACAUUGCAUUUGUGGUAUCAUUGUCAUUGUUUCUGUUUUACUAUUUGUACUUCCUUGUGUAACAUUUUGUUUACUUUUCUUUCCUCUUUAAUUUCUUGUUUUUGCCUUCUUACAUCAUUGCAGUUCUUAUGGGGAUAGCAAGCAUGGUUAUGGGCUCAUGAUGGGAGUUCCUACACCUGACCUAUUUUGUGAUAAGACUUUUUUUAUUUACUCAUUGUCUAAUUGACUUCCUCUCUCCCUAUAUGAUGGUAUUUUUUUAUUAGGUAAAUGAAUCUUUGGUUUCUUCGGCUUAUGCCAUGGUUUCACUUAAUCGACACUGGAUUACUUGCAACCUACAUAUCUUGAAAAAUAAGAAAUUCAGCUUUACAUACUUAUCCUUUUCAAAUUGAUUGUCUCCUUCUCUCCCUGUAUGUUUUUUCUCAUUUGGAAAAAUGUUUUUUUUUUUCUUUUCAGUACUUUUGUGACUUUUGACUGGAUAGAAUUCUUAAUGAACUAGUCAAAGCUGUUCUAAUGGUGGUGGUGUUUGGGAACAUUGUAUUGGUGGUAUCAUAGUCAUCUCUCCCCUUUUUCUAUUUGUAUAAUUCUAUUUUUGUUCCUUGAAUUUUCUUAUUUUGGACUUUGAACCACAUUGCAGUUCUUAUGGAGAUAAGAUGGCAUGCAUGGUUUCAGAGUCAUGGUUGGAGUUUCAAAGUUUUAUGUACUUCUCAUUGUCUAAUUCCUUUCUUCCUAUAUGAUGGAAUUUUCUCAUGAGGCAAACACUUUUUUUCCAGCUUACGGAGACAGCUGCCAUGGUUUAUCAUAGUCAACUCUGGAUUUCCUAAAACCUACCUGUUCUAUGAAAAUUAAGAAUUUCAUCUUUUGUACUGACCUUAUUUCAAAAUGAUUGUCACCUCCUCUCCAUAUGUUUCCUCUUUCAGUACUUAUUGGACUUUGAUUGGAUAGAACUCUUAACUAAAUCUGGCGAGCAAUAGUCGUCGUGGUUCUGGAACAACAUUGCACAAGUGGUGUUAGUCAAUGUUCCCUUAUAUCUAUUUUUACUACUUUUGUGUAUAGUUUUGUAGUUUUCCUUUCUUGAAUGUUUCUGUUUCGGACUAAUAAUAACAUUGCAGUUCUCAUGGAUAUAUCAAGCAUGGUUUCACAAGGUCUAGUGUCUUGAUUGGAGUUCCUAGAACCGACCUAUUUUCUGAAAAAUAAGGAUUUUCUUUUUACGUACUCAAUUAUAAGUCGACUUUCGCUUUAGAUGGUAUCCUCUGCUGUGGACUUGUUAGGUGGGAUGUUGUAUGUCAGAUGUUUAUUGGUAUAUGGUCAAGGAUUUGGUACUUGGUUGAGAUAUCUUAGUUUAUUGGCCGUAACUGUUGAUUUAUGCAGAGCAAGACAUCGUUUGAUUGAAUUCACAAUGAUGGUUGUUGGCUUUUGUCAUUAUCUACUGUUAUUUCUCCCCAACAUGUUAUGCUCGGCCAACUAUUUCUUGGUAUGAGGUUAGGCCUUUGGUUUUAUCAUUAUCUACUGUUAUUGCCACUCAACCUGUUAUGCUCCGCCAACCGCUGAUUUACAAUGGGGAUGUUUCAUGUUUAUCUUAAUGUGUGGGAAUGUGGAUACGUUUAUGUCGUAUUUAUAAUCCUUUGGAAGAUUAAUUUGAUUUCUGAUCAAGCUCUUUUUUAAGUAUGUUAACGGGAUGGUGGCCUGGUGUUUAAGAGUUUCAAUCUGUGAUGGUAUCCUUGUUUUGGUUUGGACUUCCUUUUAGGGUGUGAUAGUCUGCAAGUUGCAUUUCUCUCUGAUAUUCUAUCUUUGAAUGCUCAUGGUAGGAUAUACCAGUUUGGUGGUGAUUUCUCUUUGGUUAUACUUUAUUGUGAGAGGGUGGUGGUAUUCUGUUGUGUAUUCUUUGAUCUGUCUCUGAAUGGCUUGGUUGAAUGUAUCUGGUAUAUAUUUGGUCUGGGACAAUCGUUGACAGUCAUCUUAUUUGAUCAAACACUUCGUGCGAUACACAUUUGAUGUUUGAAGUUGUCUUGUGAUUUUUAUGUGGAUUCAAUUUCUGUGAGAGCACAUUUGAUGUUUGGUGCUGUUUCAUGACUUUGAAAGCUUAUCUCUUACAAGAAAUGUACCCAUGUUUUUUCAUAAUAAAAUUUUGUAUUUUGAUUCUUUUUGUACGUUAAUGUCUAAUUUAAUCUCAUAUUGCUCUUGUCAUAACUAAUUGUAUUCUUCUGAGAAUGUUUUCUUUGUUAGCGAUAUAGAUCUUUUAAGACAAUUGUUACUUUUUGUGUGUUGAUCUACCAUUUAUAUAUAGCAUACCUUUUUUGGGCAUUUUAUACUUGGCUAGUCACGAACUAUACUUAAUGACAUUUUUGGCUGACAUAUUUUUAGAAAUUUAUAGAAUUUAAGCCAAGUCUUGACAUAAUUUGAAGUCUAGUAAACAAAUAUUAGGCUGAAAACAAGAAUGAUCCUAAAAGCCUAGCCCUAAAGUUUGUAUUUUUUAUUUUAUUUUUAAAAAAAGCCUCCUUAAAGCACCUACAAUAACCAAGCUAUGCAAUGUUGACCCAAUAAGGAAAAAAAAAAGAAGAAAAAACGUAUGCAAUUCAAAGAUUAUUUUAGCUGUUAUUUUGUUUGCAUAGCAAUCAUUCACACUGAAAUUAUGUUAUAAUGUUGACCAUAUGAAAAUAGUAUUUCUGCUGCUGAAGGUAUAAUUAAUAUAUAAUUCAAUAAUUAUGAAUUUCUCUCCUCGAAAACAUAAUAUACUGAAUUCAACAAAAAAAAAUUAUCUUAUACGGCUUACACAAUUUUUUUUGACCUCUUUGGCAUUGAUCACGCAUUUUUGUAAUCUGAAGUCUUCAGCGUAAUUUUUAUUUGUACUUUUAAAGAAAUUAUCAUGUCCAUUUUUGUUUGAAAAAUGUAAACUAAAAAUAACUAUCAUGUGCUUUCAAGUUGAGUGAAAUUGUGGUUUUGUUGUCACUGAACUUUUCUUCUUAAAAAUGUUAUAAGGGAAGAUCUUUGAUCAUACAUUUAUUUCUCUUCGUUCGAGGCUUUUUGUAGGUGAUAGAAAAUGGUUCAAGGCUAUCUUCGCAUACGCAUGUGCUUGAUAAUUCCAAGAAUACUUGCAUCAAUAUUCCCACCUACAAGCACCUAGGAAGGGUGUUAGCUUCCCUUCUCACUAUUUUUGCCUCAUACUCUUGCGGUUUAGUUUUUCUUGAAUUUUCUUGUUUGGACUUCAAACAUGCAGUUUUGAUGGAGAAGCAAAAGAGUUUACAUUGGACUUCAUCCAACCAAACUAUUUUGUGAAAAUAUAUGACGCUGUUUUAUAUUCUCUCUCGUUUUAGUUUUAUAUUGUUCUCUACUUUUAGAUAGACUGUCCUGUCUCUCACAUUGUAUGUUGGUAUUUUCUCAUUAGGCAAUUGUCAUUUAUUUUUCUAAAUACUAAUUGUCAUUUUAUCAUUUGUUGUCAGCAAGAUCUUUAACAUUGUUUGGAUUUUGGUUUAAUAGGUGAUGGAAAAUGGUUUGACUUGCUCCGAUAUUCCCAUCUAAACAUGCCAUCUUGGAAGGGAGUUAGCUUGUUGUAGUAUUUUCUUUAAUGACUUAUUUGUUCAUGUCUUGUUUGUGCUUUGUUGUGUUCAAUGGAUUAUUAGAUUUUCUGCUUUUUCUCAAGAAAACCAGUUGGUGAAUUUUCAGGUUUUGGUAAUUGACAAGUAUGUCACUUUGAGUGUGCAAUAAAUCUUCUUGAUAGUUUACUUGACCUAUUUUAUUACUUUGUUUAUUUCUACAUGCAUAUAGUUAUGUGGACAAGUUCAGCUUUUAUCCAGGCUUCAUGCUGCAGUUUGCAUGUAUGGCAUUGGACUUACUUUUUUGGCUCUCUUUUUCUGCUUCCAAGUAUUUUGUGCUGACGUGUCCUCGCAUUCUCAUUGUUUGUCGGUUUUGGAAGCUCUAUAGAUAUAUGGUCAUUUGCAGCAGUGGUUAUGUUUAUUAUAGUUUUGGAGGCAGUUUUUGGACAUCUGUGACACUUUGUGUUAAAUUAUUCAAAAAAUUGAAUUACAUGUAUUUUUGUGGUCCACACUUCAUGUUUAAAGGUCUUAUAUUGUUGAUAUCAAUGAAAUUUGUCUUGUUUUACAUUGCAUAUCUGUGUUUGGUGUACGGUUAUAUUUUAAUCAUUGAUUUUGUUGUUCCCUCCAGAUGUCUAUAUCUAAUUCUAAUAUCUACUUUUAUGGCUCUAACUUGUGGUAAGGUUUUUUAUGAUGGCUCUAGCAGAAGUUUAAUCAACUGAUUUGUUUUUGCUCGAAUUACAUCACUAUUUUCAAAUAAUUUGUGGUGUCUUCAGUGGUUAGAUUUUAUAUUCUGUGUUGGCUUAUUUUAAAAACUGUUUAUUAGAUUUUAGAAAAUAUAAUAGUUUAUGUGUUUUGGAUAAACGACUCAUUUUUUUAGUUAAAAAUAUUUAUUUUUAUAUUUUGAAGUCAAUACAAUGUAAUUUUGUUUUGUAUUACGAGAUCUUUUAAAUGUUUUUAGUACUGAGUAUGCCUGCUCUUUUUUUGACUGAGUAUACUUUCUCUUGGUUUUUUCCAUUUUAUACAUGUUUAUCUUGCUGACUUAUUACUAAUUUAAUUAUUUUGCAGGUCCUAAGAACUACGUGGAGCUUGAUCCCUAUCCCUACUAAGGAAUAGGGUACGUAGGCAACUUUUUAUAAGUGCAGCUCCAAACUAAUUUUCAAAAAAAUGUAUUUUGUAAAAAUUGAAAUGCAUCACAUCAUUGAUGCUCACCCUAUAUGGUGGUAUUUUCUCGUUAGGUAAAUGUGCCACAUUUUUUUUCUGUACUCAUUUGGCUUCUAAUCUAAUUAAAGCUGGCAUGUGAUGGUGGUGUUCCCUUCUCACUUUUUAACUGAUACAUUGAACUUACGGUGUAGUUUUCCUUUCUUGAAAUUUCAUGCGAACUUAUGGUGGUGUUUGAACUUAUGGUCUGCUUUACAUACGUAUUUUUUUUUUUAAAUUGAUUUUUCUCCCUCUCCCUAUAUUUUUUUUUUCUCUUUUGGUAAAUCUGUUAUUUCUUUCAGUACUUAUUUGACUUCUGACUUAGUUGUCUUGUGGUGAACUAAUAAAGCUGGCAGACAAUGGUGGUGGUGUUUUGAGAACAACAUUGCGUUGGUGGUAUCAUUGACUCAGUCAUAGUUCCAUUUUUUAUUUGUACUUCGUAUAAUUGAUUGUUUGGUUUUCCUUUUUUGAAUAUUCUUGUUUUGGACUUGGAACAAAAUUUAUUACUUAUGAAGAUAGCAAGCAUGGUUUCAGUCAUGACUGGAGUUCCUGCAACCGACCUAUUUUGUGAAAAUUAAGAAUGCUAGUUUUAUUUACUUCUCAUUGUCAAAUUGACUCUCUCUCUCUCUCUCUCUCUAUAUAUAUAUAUAUAUGAUGGUAUUUUCUCUAUGUGAAUGCAUUGUUUAAUUUUUCAGCUUCUGGAGAUCGCUGCAAUGGUUUCUCAGUCAACAUUGAUUUCCUACCACAUACCUAAGAAUUUCAACUUUUCUUACUUCCCCUUUUUAAAUUGAUUGUCAUCCCGUGUAUGUUUUCCUCAUUUGGUAAAUAUGCUUUCAUUUUUUUCAGUACUUAUUUGACUUUACUGGAUAGAACUCUUGUGAAAUAAUUAAAGCUUGCCUGCAAUGGUGGUGGUGUUUUGGGAACAACAUUCCAUUGGUGGUAUCAUAGUCAUCGAUCCCUUAUUUUUAUUUCCUUUGUUGUUAUAUAGUUUUGCUUUCUUUUUUGAAUUUUCUUGUUUUGGCCUUCGAACAUGAUUGCAGUUCUUAUUGAGUUAGCAAGCAUGGUUGCGGAGUCUUGAUUGGAGUUGCUACGACUGACUUAUUAUGUGAAAUAUAAGACAGUAGUUUUAUUUACUUCUCAUUGUCUACUUGACUUUCUCCCCAUAUGAUAGUAUUUUUUAAUUAGGUAAAUGAAUCGUUUGUCUUUUCAGCUUAUGGAGAUGCUGCUAUGGUUUCACAUAUGGAUUACCGACAAACAUACCUACUUUGUGAAUCAUACGUUCCAUACUUAUUCUUUUGUAAAUUGAUUGCCUCCCACUCUCGCUUUAUGUUUCACUCAUUUGGAAAAUGUGUGCUGCGUGUGGUUUUUUUUCAGUAUUUUUUUUAUUUUUUUGAAUGGAUAUGACUGCCGGCUUGCAAUGGUUGUGGUGUUUUGAGAACAACAUUGCACUGGUGGUAUUAGUCAUGAGUUUCUACAACUGACUUAUUUUGUGAAAUUAAUUUCAUAUACUAGAUUUUAAAAGGAAAUUUGAUUAUUUAUGCUUACAAAUGGGAGAUUAAUUUCAUAAAUUUAUGUAUUUUAAAAUUUUAAAAAUAAGUUCACUUUACAUUAAAUCUAAAAAUACCAUUUUCAUUUUUCAAACCUCAACUCUCUCUCUUCCUCUAUCUCUCUCGUUGUUUCUCUCACAGUCUCACCCUCACCAAAUCACCAAGGGCCUACUUAGACCACCAAGCAACGGACCUAGCCAACCUACGGCCACCGUGAGUUGCAACUCUAAUCUUCUACCACCGAACUUCGAACAGAGAUGUCGAAGGUAAGCUUUUAGAUCUUUUUUUUUAUUAUUUUUGUCAUUGAUUUUUUUAGGUGAUUUAUGAUUUCUAGAGUAUUAGGUAUUGAUUUAGGUUUAUAUGUAUGUGUUUGUGUGUGCACCAUGAGUUUUGUUAGAUUUAAAGUUUGAUUUAGGUAUUGAUUUUUUCAAACAUGUGGUUUGGGCAAAAACUUGGGUUAAGGGUUUUAUUUCGGCGGGCUCGAUGCAGGCCUGACACCGGUCUGAUGGGUUUACAAAAUUGUUGAAGAAGAUGAAGGCCCGAUGGUUGUAAAAAAAUUUAAAAUUUGUGAGGUCCCGAUGGCCUUGUUGAAUUUUUCAUUUCUAAUUGUGGCUCGAUUGGUCCAAUGUUGGGCUCGAUAUAGAGCCCAAUGGCCUUCACAUAAUUUUAAUUUUUGAUAAGCUGGAUGCGUUCGAUAUUGGUCCCAAUGGCCUUGCCAAAAUUUUUAGUUAUGGCUCGAUGUGUUUUAUGUUGGGCCCGAUGUCCUAUUUAAACUUGACUAUUUUGGCUCGGACCCGAUAUAGGGCUCGAUUCUUUCAUUUUUUUUUUAAAUUUUGUAGACUCCCACAACUAAUAAUUUCACGGUCGGAGCAUUACACAAGCUAUGUUACUUGACGCGGAGAAGUUAUUGCGACUCGAAGAUUAAGACUAAAUUUGAGGAAUUUAGAUUAUGGGAUAAGGUGAGGGAAUCCCCUUUUAAAAAAUUAUUCGAGAGAGAACCAUUACAAUUUUUGGGGGCAUUGAUCCAUCAAUUAAUGUUGCACAAGAUUCAAUUUGACAAGUCAGACGAAGUACUUUUUUACUUGGCGAAGAAGGCAUACAGAUUCGGUAGGGUGGAGUUUGAUUCGGUGACUGGGUUAAACUUGUUCUCCGGACCUACUGAAGAAAAAAUUGAAGAGAAAGGAAGUUUAAACUGGUUGAUUAUGAAAUUUUUUAACGGUAAUCUUUCCAUCAGCUUUGGCCAAUUGCGCAGAGUUUUUGAGAGCUGCACAGAAAUUGAUGAUGUUUACAAGUUGGGGAUGACCUUGUUUGUUAUGAGCGUUCUCACUUGGAAGGAGGAGAAGAUUGCCGUUCCUUCAUUUGUCAUAAGAAUAGUUGACAAACUUCUAUUCUUUUACGUACAACAAGUUGAUAAUUUUUUUUAAUAAAAACUAUAUAGAUGUGAAGAAUAAAAUGCUUAAGAAAAUUGAGAAGGGAGUUAGUCAGUAGGAGGCGUAAUACUCAUCUUACGGCUAUACUGUAGCAUUGAAGUAUUGGGCGUACGAGGCCAUCUUGGAGCUGGGCAACGAGUAUGCAGUGAAAAAGUUGCAUCGCUUUUCGAGAAUGGUGAACUGGGAGAGUAAGCCAAAAAUGACACUCGGAAAAGACAAAGUCAUUUGAUGAUUUAUUAGAAAUGCAAGUUUCUUACAUUUUAUAUUUAUUUCAUGUUAAAAAAAUCUAUCUAUUAAUAUAUUUAUUUUAUUUUUCAGUUGACAAUAUACUUUAUGUUAUGUCCCCGAUCAAUUGAGAUUGAGGUUGUGAGUUGCGUUACUAGUGGUCAGACGCCUUUAUUUGUUGACUUGGAGAAAUUUGUGUUGGGUCAUGAUGGACAACCGAUACACGAUGCUUUGCGAAGUCAGACCAAAAAGCUUAUCUCGACAAUUGAAGAACGAGCGGAUGCAGUUUGAAUAUUUAGAGACUCUACACUACCUGCAUCGUCUCCACCACCUGCACCGUCUUCACUACUGGAUGAGCUUGAUGUUGCCCUAUCUACAACAUUAGAGGAUCCUCCUCUGGGCCCGUCAACAUCUAUUCUCAGCACCUUUGAGGCUUGCAAACCAGUAUCGCAUGCCAUUUUGGCAAGGUUGGAUACUGUGAAGAGUGAGCAGAUUGCUUUGAGGGAAGGCCGGACUACUUUGUUAAGAGGACAGAAAGAGAUUGUGGGUCAGUUGAAGACCAUAAUGAGAUUGUUGUAAGAUUUUGGAAGGCCUACACUAGAUAGCUACAACUACAAGAAGAGCUUGAGUCACCGGAAAAUAAAAUUAUUCUCCAAAAGAAUUAUAGACCGAAUGACGAUGAUACGUCCUGUACACCUGACAACACGAGGCUCACCAGCAUUGGGGAUAGUCAGGAUUCUGAGAUAUAGGUGUUAGAGACAGUUCCAGAACUAGUGGAAAACUGUAAAAAGAAAGCGGCUUAGGUGGUUGGCGGAGUACACUGGGCUCUCGGCCAGAUUGGGAACAAUUACUCGAGAGAGUGUUUCUCCAGUAGACACGAUUUAGCUUGGUUCUUCCAGCUACAUAUUCUGAAGACAUGGCUUGGAGACGGUGUAAAUUUUUAAGAUUUUUUACGUCUUUAAUUUUUAAAGACUUUAUUAAAUUUUUUUAUUUGAUCUGACAUAUUUAAUUUUCAUAUUUUAUCAUUUGGAUAUGAUAUUUCAUUUAAAGAGGAGGUGACAACACUUUUAUUCGGAGGUAUACCUAAAUAGAUGUGUCAUCAUACUUCACAUUUUCCCCAUAAGGAGUUAUUGGUCGGUGGCAAGUUGCAGGUGAUAACCACACUAACUUUUAGUGGAAUGACAGCAUAUUGAAUUUAAUUCGAGGAGAUGAUGCCCAAUACUUGGACAAUUGGAAGAAUAAAGAGAAUGUAUAUGAUCCUCUUCUUCGAUAGUGCAAAGAGUUGAGUGACAUUAGAAGCAGAUUUUGAUCAUUGCAUGUUGAACAUAUUUGACUCGAGCCUUGGUCGAUUUCUUCAAAUGAAUUGAAGAGUCACUUGACAUUGUAGUAAAAGUUAUUCCUGAUUUUGAUACUGCAGUCCGACCUAUUCGAGAAUCAUGAAAUGAUCGUCAUGCCUCAACUGACCGUCUCAGAGAGCCAGGUUAGAAAUUUUAGUUCAACAGUUAUCGACGGGAGCAUUGUACGACAGAUAGAAUCAAAAUAAUUUAAUUACAAUUAAUUUUUUAUUAUUUAACUUGAAUUUAAUUUACAUAUUUUUAUUUAAUUAUUUUUUAUUGUCUCAUACAACAGCGAUUGCAAGAUAUAUGUGAUAAAAUAAAAAAUGCAAAUUAAAUUCAAGUUAAAUAAUAAAAAAUUAAUUGUAAUUAAAUUUACUUAAUUCCGUCUGUCAUACAAUGCAUCCGUCGAUGACUGUUGAACUAAAAUUUCUAAUCUGACUCUCUGAGACGGUCAGUUGAGGCAUGACGAUCAUUUUAUGAUUCUCGAAUAGGCCGGAUUGCAGCAUCAAAGUUUGGAAUAAUUCUCCCCACAAUGUCAAGUGACUCUUCAAUUCCUUCGGGAAAAUCGAUUCAAGGCUCGAGUCAAAUAUGCUCAACAUCCAAUGAUCAAGGUCUUUCUUUAAUGUCACCUAAUACUCUGUAUUAUCAAAGAAGAGAGCCAUGUACAUUCUUUUCUUAUUUUUCUAACUGUCACAGUAUUGGGCAUCAUCUCCUCGAAUAUUGGACAACCCACUGAAAGUUAGUGUGGUCAUCACCUGUAACUUGUCACCGAUCAAUAACUUUGAUGGAAAAAUAUGAGGCAUGAUGACACAUCUAUUUAAGUACACCUCCGAAUAAAAGUGUUGUCGCCUUCUCAUCAAAUGAGAUGUUGCAUCUAAAUGCUAAAACUUAAAAAUUAAUUAUGUCAAAAGUUAAAUAAAAAAAGUUAGAUAAAGUCUUUAUAAACUAAAGACGUAACAAAUUUUAAAAACUUAUAUCAUCUUUAAUCCAUGUUUCGACGUCUGUAGUUGGAAGAAUUAAGUUGAAUCGUGUCUACCGAAAAAACACUCUCGGGUACUUGUUCUCAAUCUGGCCGAGAACCCGCUUGUAAAAAGUCGAGAACAACUUUCGAUCAACGAUUCUAAAUGGGUCCACUUUCACAAGUGUCUUUGAUGCUUGGACUUCUUCAUUUCAGUGUGCUCCUCGAACCGCUUAAGCUUUCUCUUUUUUCGGUUUUCUACUAGUUCUGGAGCUGUCUCUAACACCUGUAUCUCAAAAUCUUGAGUAUUCCCGAUGCUGGUUAUUUUCGUGUUGUCAAGUGUACAGAAUAUAUCAUCAUCAUCUGUUUUAUAAUUAUUUGAAAAAAUGAUUUCAUUUUUCGGUAAUCGAAGCUCUUUUUGUGGUUGUGGUUGUGUAUUUGGUGUUGGCUUUUUAGGAUCUUGCAGUGUGACUGUGUAUCUGAUGUUGGCCUUCUAAGAGUCAUUAUGGUCUUCAAUUGACCCAUAAUCUCUGUCUGUUCUCUUAACAGAGCGGUCUGGCUUUUCAACCUUACUAAAAUGGCAGGGUAUACUGGUUCGCGAGCUUCUGAGGUGCUGGGAAUAGAUAUUGACGGGCCAAGAGGAGGAUCCUCUGAUGCUGCAGAUGGGGCAACACUAGACUCAUCUGGUAGUGAAGAUGGUGCAAGUGGUAGAGACGAUGCAAAUGGUGUAGAGUCUCUAAAUAUUCGGGCUGCAUCGCUUGUUCUUCUAAUGUCGAAGUAAGCUUUUCGGCUUGACUUCGCAAAGCAUCCUGUGUUGGUUGUCCAUCGUCACCCAACACAAGUUCCUCCAAGUCAACAAAUAAAGGCGCCUGACCGCCAGUGAUGUAAGUCACAAACUUAAUUUCAUUUGUUUAAAGACGUAAUAUAGAAUAAACUGUCAAUUAAAAAGUAAACAAAAUAUAUUAAUAAAUAUAAAAUAUAAAAUAAAUAUAAAGUAUAAGAAAUUUGUAUUUAUAGUAAAUAAUCGAAUGAUUUCGUCUUUUUUGAGUGUUGUUUUUAACUUACUUUCCUAGUUCACCAUUCUCGGAAAGCGAUUCGAUUUUUUCACUGCAUACUCGUUGUCCAGCUCUAAGAUGACCUCGUAUGCCUAAUACUGCAACGCUGCAAUAUAGUCGUAAGAUGAGUAUUUAGCUUCUUUCUGACUAACUCUUUUUUUAAUAUUCUUUAAUUAUUCUUCACAUCUAUGUAGACUUUAUUACAAGUUUUCAUAAACUUGUUGUACGGAAUUAUUUUCCACGGGUACUCGUAGAAGAAUGAAAAGUUGUCAACUAUUCUUAUGACAAAAGGAGGGACUGCAGUCUUCUCCUCCUUAUCAGUGAGGACGCCCAUAACAAACAAAGCCAUCCCCAGCUUGUAGACAUCAUCAACUUCUGUGCAGCUCUCAAAAAUUCUGCUCAGUUGGUCAAAGCUGAUGGAAGGAUUACCGUUGAAAAAUUACAUAAUCAACCGGUUCAAACUUCUAUUCUCUUCAAUUUCUUCUUCAGUUUGUCCGGGCAACAAGUUCAACCCAGUCAUCAAACUAAACUCCAGCCUAUCGAAUCUGCAUCUUUUCUCUGCCAAAUAAAAAUGUACCUCGUCUGACUUGUCAAAUUUAAUCUUGUACAAUAUUAAUUGAUGAAUCAAUGCCCUCGAAAAUUGUAAUGGUUGUCUCUCGAAGAACUGUUUAAAAGGAGAUUCCCUCACUUUAUCCCAUAGUUUGAAUUUCUCAAAUUAUACCUUAAUUUUCAGGUGGUAAUAACUUCUCCCGCCCCAAGUUAUACGACUUGUGUAAUGUACCGAGAGUGGAAUUAUUAGCUGUAGAGAUUUUUACAAAAAAAAGUGAGUUAGAAUCGGACCCGACCCAAAAUAGCCAAGUUAGAAUAGGAUAUCGGACCAACAUCAGACGCAUCGGGCCAUAUUAAAUAAAAAAUUAAAAUUUUGGCAAGGCCAUUGGGCCCUAUAUUGGGCCCAACAUCGGACGCAUCGAGCCUAUCAAAAAUUAGAAUUUUGUCAAGGCCAUCGAGUCCUAUAUCAGGCCCGACAUCGGGCCACAAUUAAAAAUGAAAAACUUAAUAAGGCCAUUGGGCUGUAUUGGGCCCACCAUCGGACCCAUUAGGCCCUAACCAAUUUUAAAUUUUUUACGAAGCCAUCGGGCUCCAUUGGGCCAACUAUCGGACCUAUCGGGCUUUCGUCUACUUUCACAAUUUUGUAACCCCAUUGGACGUCGGACCUACAUCGGGCUUGUAUCGGGCCUCGACAAAAUCAAACCCCAAACUCAGGUUUUUGUCCAAAUCACACGUUUUAAGAAAUCAAUACCUAAAUCGAACUUUAAAUUUAACAAAAUUCACGGUGCACACAUAAACACAUACAUUAUAAUCUUAAAUCAAUAUCUAUCAAUACUCUUAAAAUCAUAAAUCACCCAAAAAAAUAAUGACAAAAAUAAUAAAAAAAUAUCUUAAGGCUUACCUUCGACAUCUCUGUUCGAAGCUUAGGGGUAGAGGGUUGGAGUUGCGUCUCACGGUGGUUGUGGGUUGGUUGGAUCCGUUGCUCCGUGGUCUGGGUAGGCCCUUGGUGAUUUGGUGUGGGUGAGACGGUGAGAGAAACAACGAGAGAGAUAGAGGAAGAGAGUGAGUUGAGAUUUGAAAAAUAAAAAUGGUAUUUUUAAAUUUAAUAUUAAGUGGACUUAUUUUUAAAAUUUUAAAAUACAUAAAUUUAAGGAAUUAAUUUCUCCCAUUAAUAUGCAUAAUAAUUAAAUUUCUUAUUUUAAAUUGGUUUUCCUUCUCCCGUAUUUUGUCAUGUAAAUGAAUCAUUUUUAGGUACUCAUUUGGAUUUUUCCUGUGAUGGCAGGUGCUCCAUUCUCAAACUUAAGUUAUAUGUUACUUGUUCUUUGGUUUUCCUUCGAUAUUUUUGUGGGAACUUUAGGAUUCAAAGUAUCUGAAUUCUGUCAUUUUAGGUGAUCAAAAGUGAUAGCGGUGCUACUGGAGUGUGGAUAUGUUUCGACAUCUAGCUACGAGUAUAUUUCUCACCAAAAAACAUCUUUCCGAUUCGACAUCUUUCCGAUUCGACGUCUUUCCUUAUGAUGUCAAGCUACGGGUGUUCAAUAAAUUUUUAGGGUCCAGCUUUUCUCAAGAUUAUUUUCAUCAUUAGUGUUUUUCUCUUGUCUACUCCCAGCAGUGUGCAUUUGAUAAGUUUCAUCAUCGACUUAUAUGAGGUCAUAGUACGGUUUAAUUUCACUGACUUGAACUUGCCAAUUGUUGAUUUGCACCCUUAGGUGAGAUUUCAGAUUUUGUAACCGUUCCUUCUCUUGAAGUGUCAAUAUUUUGGCUGGUAUCUUUUAUAUAUUGUGCUGGUUGCUAAUAGUUUACUCUCAACAACAGAGAGUUUUGUGGUUCUCUAUGAUUAUUGCAGAAUGCAGAUGAUGUCAACUCUUUUGUAUAUAUUUUUGAAUCUUUAAUUUUUUUUUUCAAUAACCUAUGAAUUUUGGGCUUGGAACUGCUUUACCCAUUUCUAAGGAAGCUUUUAUGAAUUAAUCCACUGUUCUGGUACUUGUUUGGUUGGAUCUCUAGAUGCUAUGUCAGAUGUUUCUCGGUAUUAGGUCAAAUAUUUCAUUCUUGGUUGAUAUCUUCAGUUUAUUGCCCAUAACUUCUGAUCAUGCAGAGCAAGGCAUCAUCGUCUGAUUGAACUCAUUUUGUAUUGAGACGAUUUGUUUUUAUCGUUAUCUAGUGUUACUGCCCCUCAACUUGUUAUGCUCGACCAACUGUUUCUUGGUACGAGGUUAGACAUUUGGUUUUUAUUAUUUACUGUUUUCCUCAACUUGUUAUGCUUUUCCAACUGUUGAUUUACAAUGGGGACGUUGCAUGUUUAUCUUUACAUGUGGAACGUGGAUACAUUGGUGCUGUAGCCUUUAUCUAUAAUCCUUUGGAAGAUAAAUCUUAUUUCUAAUCAAGCUCUCUUGAAAGUAUGUUAAUGUGAUGUUGGACUGGGUGUAUGAGUUUCGAUGUUUGAUAGUAUCCUAUUAGUUUCAGGUCGGACUACUUUCUAGGGUGCCACAGUCUUCAAGCUGCAUUUCUCUCUGAGAUUCUAUCAUCAAAUGCUCAGGGGAGUUAUAUAUUUAUAGAAAAACUAGUGAAUUGACAUUCGUUUGGUGGUGAUGUUCUCUUUGGUCAAACUUUAUUUUGAGGGGUGGUGAUAUCAUUCUGUUUCUGAAUGGCUUUGUUGAACGUAUCGGUGACACUGUCAUGUUAUUUGACCACACUUUUGGGGAUGCACAGUUGACGUUUGAAGUUUUUUGUGAUUUUAUGUGGAUUCAAUUUUCUAUGGAGCACAUUUGAUGUUUGAAGUUGUUUCAUGAGUUUGAAAUCUUACCUAAUGUUUCCAUAAUAAUUUUGUAUUUGGAUUCUUUUUGUACGUUAAUGUCUUUGAACUCUAAUUGCUCUUGACAUAUAACUAAUUUUGUUGUCAUGAAAAUUGUUCAUUCCCCGAACUGUAUUUUUAUUAAGGGUCUAAUUGAUUCGAUUCUACAUGUUUUGCCAUGUUAGCGAUAUAGAUCUUCUAAGAUAAUUGAUGAUUUUUGUGUUGAUGAA